rnacentral:rRNA from 1 species
GGAGCGUUCUGUAAGCCUGCGAAGGUGUGCUGUGAGGCAUGCUGGAGGUAUCAGAAGUGCGAAUGCUGACAUAAGUAACGAUAAAGCGGGUGAAAAGCCCGCUCGCCGGAAGACCAAGGGUUCCUGUCCAACGUUAAUCGGGGCAGGGUGAGUCGACCCCUAAGGCGAGGCCGAAAGGCGUAGUCGAUGGGAAACAGGUUAAUAUUCCUGUACUUGGUGUUACUGCGAAGGGGGGACGGAGAAGGCUAUGUUGGCCGGGCGACGGUUGUCCCGGUUUAAGCGUGUAGGCUGGUUUUCCAGGCAAAUCCGGAAAAUCAAGGCUGAGGCGUGAUGACGAGGCACUACGGUGCUGAAGCAACAAAUGCCCUGCUUCCAGGAAAAGCCUCUAAGCAUCAGGUAACAUCAAAUCGUACCCCAAACCGACACAGGUGGUCAGGUAGAGAAUACCAAGGCGCUUGAGAGAACUCGGGUGAAGGAACUAGGCAAAAUGGUGCCGUAACUUCGGGAGAAGGCACGCUGAUAUGUAGGUG